AGAGUUCGAUUCUGGCUCAGGACGAACGCUGGCUGCGCGCCUAACACAUGCAAGUCGAACGAGCGAGAGAGAGCUUGCUUUCUCGAGCGAGUGGCGAACGGGUGAGUAACGCGUGAGGAACCUGCCUCAAAGAGGGGGACAACAGUUGGAAACGACUGCUAAUACCGCAUAAGCCCACGACCCGGCAUCGGGUAGAGGGAAAAGGAGCAAUCCGCUUUGAGAUGGCCUCGCGUCCGAUUAGCUAGUUGGUGAGGUAACGGCCCACCAAGGCGACGAUCGGUAGCCGGACUGAGAGGUUGAACGGCCACAUUGGGACUGAGACACGGCCCAG
rnacentral:rRNA from 1 species